GUCUACAGCCAUACCACCCUGAAUGCGCCCAAUCUCGUCUCAGAAGCCAAGCAGAGUCGGGCCUGGGCAGUACUUGGAUGGGAGAUUAAGGGCCCACCCUACUCCAGUCU
rnacentral:rRNA from 1 species